rnacentral:rRNA from 1 species
GACGGGGGGGGCAAGUGUUCUUCGGAAUGACUGGGCGUAAAGGGCACGUAGGCGGUGAAUCGGGUUGAAAGUGAAAGUCGCCAAAAAGUGGCGGAAUGCUCUCGAAACCAAUUCACUUGAGUGAGACAGAGGAGAGUGGAAUUUCGUGUGUAGGGGUGAAAUCCGUAAAUAUACGAAGGAACGCCAAAAGCGAAGGACAGCUCGUCU